rnacentral:rRNA from 1 species
CAGCCGCCGCGGUAAUACGUAGGGUGCGAGCGUUAAUCGGAAUUACUGGGCGUAAAGCGUGCGCAGGCGGUUGUGUAAGACAGGUGUGAAAUCCCCGGGCUUAACCUGGGAACUGCGCUUGUGACUGCACAGCUAGAGUAUGGCAGAGGGGGGUGGAAUUCCACGUGUAGCGGUGAAAUGCGUAGAGAUGUGGAGGAACACCGAUGGCGAAGGCAGCCCCCUGGGCCAAUACUGACGCUCAUGCACGAAAGCGUGGGAGCAAACAGGAUUAGAUACCCCUGUAGUCCCUGUCUCUUAUACA